CGGAAAUGGUUCAGAUCACUUCCGGGAGCAGGCUACUGCCCAACAUGUUUUCACCGCCGAGACGGAUUCUCGUCGGAGGAGCUGGCUUCGUGCCCGAAAAAAAUCUUAAUUUAUUUUUUAUUUAUAAAUUUCAUUGCAAGAUGACGCUUUGAUUAUGUCGCUUUUUAUAUUUUCAUGACUCAUUCAUUCAGGGUGCGUCAUCAUCACCACUAGGCCGCAUCGAUUGACAAAUGUUAUGGUAAGCAAUUUGAUUCAAUCCGGACUAAUGGAGAAUUAAAAGGUGGUUUAAUUUGACCCUUUUCUUUUCUCACAGAAGUGAAUGCUAAGCCAUGGUAGUCACGUAAAUAGUUGUCACGUAGCAGGCAGCCACGUGGCUAGCAAACACGUGGUGCACCACAGAGGCCUUUACUAUGGCGUCUCACCCCCCACGACAGCCUGAACGGAACUGGAUCCACUUGGCUUAGAAGAGUGCUAUAUAUUCAAAUAAAGCACAUUUUCCUCUUAAGAACAAGUUUCAUUUAAUGUCUUGUUUUACAUAAUGAAUAAUGCACUAUAUGUGAAUCCUGGUUGACAUAUUUGGUGGUCAUGCAGGUUUAAAAGAAAUGGUGCAAGAACAAAAAUCACAAGUCCUGUUAUAACUGGAGUUUCUUGGCAACUUUCCCAAGUUUCUCUUUUAAAGCAAGACACAGUUGUAGUGUAAUUGUCACAAUUGAGAGGCGGUUAUUUUUACAAUCACUUGGCAGUUGAUCUUUUUUUUUUUUUAAACUGGAAAUGCUAGGAUAACCAGAAAUGCUUGAUGCUGAACAACUAGGUGUCUGUUCUGAGUAUUUUCCCAGGUUACGUGAAGUCCUAAUAAAGUGAUGUUUAAUAUAAAUGCUCUUUGCUUCAUCCAUAUCAAAUUAUGACUCCCAUUUAUUAGCUUUUUUUUUUUUUAAUUGAUACACAAUGACCUGAACUGUAACAUUCUGACAUCACUGAACACAACAGCAAUGUUUCUUCACAGUGCAAAUGAACAUCAAAACUUGUGGAAACAAUUUGUACAACAAUGGUACAUUUUUUUAAGCGUGGCUGCAAAUGGUGCACUGUGGAGGAAUGUUUGCUUAUUUUAAAGGCACUUUCUGCCUCAGUGACACUGACAAGAAACCGUCACCUGUAAAGCAACUAAAUGUUGGCAGAUCUGCACACAAUACAGAAAAA